rnacentral:lncRNA from 1 species
CCUAAGAAUCUUCAUCUAUUUGAACAAUUAAAGAAACAAAACAAUCAGGAGUUAACAUUAAAAGGGAAAAAAACAGAGGAUUUUUAUAUGUUUAACAGCUAUCUCAAGAGAAAAACAAAUGGGAACAUCUCCAAUAUUGGAAACAAAGUCUUUUGAAGAAGAACAAAAGGGUGGCCUGCUUCUCUUACUUCAAUUGCUUCUUUAUUUUUUUUCAGCCACACAAAUUUGACCAUUGUGCCAGAGAUAUUACAGGCUCAAAAAGGCUACUAGCAUCAAGGUGAACGGCAAUAUAUAAAAUCUUCCAAAAGUCUCAGUGCAGUUUUUGUUUUGUUUUGUUUUGUUUUGCUUUUUUAGGGUCACACCUGUGGCAUAUGGCGGUUCCCAGACUAGGGGUUGAAUCAGAGCUGUAGCCACCGGCCUACACCACAGUCACGGCAACUCAGGAUCCAAGCCACAUCUGUGACCUACACCACAGCUCUUGGCAAUACUGGAUCCUUAACCCACUGAGGGAGGCCAGGGAUUGAACCCACAUCCUCAUGGAUAUGAGUAGGGUUUGCUACCGUUGAGCCACAACAGGAACUUCUGAUCCGUGCAGUUUUGAAAGACCUUGUAUUGACAGCUUCAUGUAACAUCAUUUGCUAGAACAGGGAAUUAUGUAAGCUCAUCUUGAACUCAAUUUAACUGUGUCUCUUAUGGUGAAAGCCAAUAUCAUCGUCCUUGCCUUCCUUCCUUACAAAUCAAACAAAGGGAAGGGUAAAAUCUGAGCUCAGUCCCCUCAUCUGUAAAAUAAAAUGGUUAGAUUGAACUAUGGAACAGCAAACUAUAGUCCAAGGGCCAAAUCCAGCAGGCUGCCUGUCUUUGUAAAUAAAGUUUUAUUGGAACACAGCCACGCCCAUUUGUUUGUGAAUUGUCUAUGGCUGUUUUCAUGCUACAGCAGCAGAGCUGAGUUGCUGUAACAGACCAAAAAGCUUGUAAGGCCAAAAAUAUUUACUAUCUGGCUCUUUACAGAAAAGGUUGUCAACCCUGCGUUAGAUUAUUUCUCAGCUCCUUUUCUGCACUGCUGUUUCCUGGUUCUAAAAGCCUGGAAAAGGCAACAGAAGUAGGGAAAAUCAGAGAGGCGCAACAGUGACCGUUCAGCUGCCUCAGGCUGUGCAUUUUGAGAUGGACUCAGCAAGUAAGGAGCAUCCAUUCGUAGAGAGUGCCUGGAGGGCUGAGUUGGGAAGCACUGCUUAAAAUACCCAAAUUAUUCUAAAUAAUUAUUUAAUACGAAUACUCUUAGUAGAAUGGCUAAAAUAAAAAAACACUGACCAUUCAAGUGCGGAUAAGGAUGCAGAAUAACCAGAUCUCUCGUAUAUUGUUGGUAGAAAUGUAAGAUAGUACAGCUGCUAUGGAAAAGAGUCUGACAGUUUCUUAUCAAAUCAAAUAUAUAUUUACCGGCAUGACUCAGAAAUCUCAACCCCAGGUACAAACCCAAGAGAAAUGAAAACAUGUCCACACGAAGACAUCUACAUGAAUGUUUAUAGCAGCUUUAUUCAUGAAAACCUCCAACGGGAAACAACUGCAAUGUCCUUGAUCGCGUGAAUGCUUAAAUAAACUGGGGUACAGCCAUAUCAUGGAAUUCUAAUCAGCAAGAAAAAGCAAGGAGCUAGUAAUACGUGCAACAAUAUGGGUGUAUCUUAAACGUUAUGCUAAGUGAAAGAGGCCAGACUCAAAAAUUGAUGUAUUGCAUGAUUCCAUUCACAUGACAUUCUGGAAAAGGCAAAACUUUAGGGACAGAAAACAGAUUAGUGAUUGCCAGGGUAUAGGAUCAGGGAAUAAAUAAAGUUAAACCCUAUCUCACAGCCUACAUGGAUAAACCCCCUACGGACUAAAGACCUAUAUAUAAAAAACAAAAUCUAAUUAAGUCCUGGAAAAAUAUAUUAGGCAACAAUUAUAUAAAUCUGCAGUAGGAAAGGGUUUUCUACAUAUAAAAAGGAAGAUUUGAGUGCAUAAAAAGAAAAAAAAAAACUUCUGUACAUCAUUAAUCACCCUAAAUACUAUACAAAGGCAAACGCUGAUGACAAGCCAAAGGACUAAUAACUGAUAUAUUAAGAGAGCUUUACAAACCACCAGGGAAAAGAUGAAUAUUGUGGGGAAAAAUGGACAAUGAACAAGAAUUUUGCAAAAUAAUUCAUUCGAGCCAAUAAACAUGUGAAAAAAGAUGAUAUUUGAUAUGUAAAAUUAAAACAAGAUGCCCUUUUCUCAUCUAUAGCAUUGAGAAGAAUUUUUUUUUUUAAAUUAGAUACAUUCAUGUGGGCAAAACCAUCGCCAAACAACCAUUCAGACACAGUACUGGUUGCUAUUUAAGUCAGUAUAACCUAGUUGUAAUCAAGGCUUCUUGUGACAAGUUUAAGUGUGUGCAUAUUCUAAUGCCACCAUUUCCUUAAUAUGAAGGAAUCAUACCCUAUAUAUGUUUAAUUUGUCAGCAUAUAAUUUUUAUACAUCAGUAGAAUAGGUGUACCUCAUUCUCUUUAACCUCUGUAUAAUAUUUCAUUGCAUAAUUGUACCAUAACUUACUUAGCCAGUAUCCUUAAUAGACAUUUACCCUGUAUAUCCUUUCUGGAUGACAAUUUGUCAAUAGCAAUCAAAGAGUUUAAAAUGCACAUAAUCGCCUUUAAUCUAGCAAUCUUACCUGUAACAAUAUCCCAAGAAAGUAGUGAAAUAUAUACAUGCUAAUAUAUUAGCUGUGAAAUGAUGCCUAAAUAAUGAAAUUUUAGAAUUCAUCUAAAUGCCUGAUAAUAGGGACUUGGUUAAGUACAUCGUGAUGUAUUUACAAAGUAUGAUACUAUUUAGCCAUUAAAAAGGGUCUUAGAGGACCAGGGUUGGGGAACUUUUUCUGUAAAUGGCCAGCUAAGAAAUAUUUUCAGCUUUAAGACCAUGCGGUCUCUGUCCCAAUAACUCAACUCUGCUGCUGCAGCAUGAAAGCAGCCACAGACAAUGUAUAAAUGAACAGGCAUGUCUGUGUUCCAACCAAACUAUCUUUAUGGACACUGAAAUUUAAAUUUAAUAUAAUUUUCUUCCUCCGAUGUUUUUAACUACUUACAAGUAUAAACACGAUUUGCAGCUUACGGCCUGUACACAAACAACUGGUGGGCAGGAGUUGGCCCAAGAUCUGUGGUUUACAGAGAAAUCCCAUGAGGAAGGUGGUGCUUGGCAGCAGAGUGGCAUAUGGAGGUUCCCAGGCUAGGGGUCUAAUCGGAGUUGCAGCCACCGGCCUACACCACAGCCACAGCCAUGCGGGAUCCGAGCCACGACUGCGACCUACACCACAGCUCACAGGCAACGCCGGAUCCUUAACCCACCAAGCGAGGCCAGGGAUCGAACCUAUGUCCUCAUGGAUGCUAGUCAGAUUCGUUAACCACUGGGCCACAACAGGAACUCUCAGCAGCAGAGUUUUUGAAUCUCCCCAAAUGCCACAAUAAAAACCACAAGUAGGAAGCCUAAGUAGGAAAGCAAAACCAAAAUCCACGAAACAAUCUGCAACAAAGCCAGAUGAAAGUGAGGCCCCCGUGAGCCCUGAAAUAUGAGUAGGUGGUGACAAAUCAGAGAGGCUUCAGGAGCAAAACGGCAUUAGCUAUGGGAGAGUAUGGAGAGGAAAUCAGCAGGGCAUCUGGUAGAUCUGAGAACUCUAAAAUGACUCACUCAAACCUCAGCAGGCUGACUUAUGAACAAUGAGUCAGACUGGCAGAGGUUUGCACCGUCAAAGAGUGACCAAGAGCAAGGAGUCCACGGAAUAGCCUGGGAGCCACCUGGGCGCUAUGAGCUCUCGAGACCAUCCAAAGCUCCCUUCCUGGGCAAAGUCCCACUCUGAAGAGAAAAUGGUGGAAGCAGACUCCACACUGGCUGGAACAGAGACAAGACAGACAAAAUAGAAAGUCCAGAUAAAAGUAGAGGAGGUCAGAAAGGAAUUCACUACAAUUCUGAAAAAAGGUCAAAAAUAACAGAAGAUGGAACUCCACGGCCAUGAAAUUAGAAAAAAAAAAGUCCUAAAUCAAGACUCCUUCUAAAACUUCUGGGAAACUAAUUUCAUGUAAAAAUAAGCAAUAGAAUAGUAUUCUUACAGAAUUAAAACAUGCCAAAAAGCUGGCCACAAAAAAAUGCAUACAAAAAUUAUAAUCUAAUAUUUCAAAACUAGCUAAAGUAGAUUAAGAAAAGAGUUAUAUGAUGUGGGAAAAUAUGCAUGAUAUGGAAGAAUAUUAAAAAUGCAGAAUAAGAACAACUCAGAAAUGACAUGGCAAAACUCAAGAAAGAAUUAGAAGUAAAAGAAAAUAAUCCUUUCAGAAAUGAAGACUAGCCAGAGGAAACACAGGGGCAAAUAAACAUACAGAUAGUACCUUAAGAGAAACAGAAGAUGAAAGGGGGAAUUUUUUUUAACUUAAAAGAAAUGAAGGUGGAUGAAAUUUUUUCAAGAGGAUGUGACAAAUAUAGAAGACAAGCAAAGGAAAUAAGGGAACAGAGUAGUUGCUGUUGUGGCGUAGCGGAAACGAGUCUGACCAGUAUCCAUGAGGAUGCGUGUUUGAUUCCUGGGUCAGGGAUCCGGCGUUGCCAUGAGCUGUGGUGUAGGUCACAGAUGUGGCUCAGAUCCCGUGUUGCUGUGGCUGUGGUGUAUGUAGGCCGGCAGCUACAGCUCUGAUUCGACCCCUAGCCUGGGAACCUCCAUAUCAAACCCAUGACGCUUGGGUCGCUGCUGCAGUGACAAUGCCAGAUCCUUAACCCACUGAGUCACCAGGACUGAAAAAACUUUUGGAGCUUCCAAAAACCAAAAUGACUGGAGAGAUGUCAACAUAAAGAUUGGGAGUUAGCAUCAAAUACAUACCCAUACAGAAAUAAGACUAAAGAGGACUAUAAGGGGGAGUUCCUCUUGUGGCUCAUCAGGUUAUGAACCUGACUAGUAUCCAUGAGGAUGCGGGUUCAAUCCCUGGCCUCGCUCAUGGGUUAAGGAUCUGGUGUGGCUGUGGCUGGCGGAUCUGGUGUGGCUGUGGCUGUGGCUGGCAGCUACAGCUCUGUUAGACCCCUAGCCUGGAAACCUCCAUAUGCCAC